rnacentral:lncRNA from 1 species
CUUUUGUCGAUGGUGGUUGGUGAUCGAGUUACCACGCGCGCAACUUGGAAGCCGGCCGGUGGUCUGAUAGAUAUAUACCCGGCGGCGGCGGGUCCACAGGAUUUAACGACGAUGGAUCCACCAUGCAUGUUUUAGAAUUUUUUCAGCAUGCGCAAAAGUAAUUUUGUCAAAUAUUGAUAGACCAAUCAGGGAUCAUAUUAUUCCCAAAUGGCUCACCAUUAUACGUGGCGGCACGAAAUGUGGAUCACAGAUAAUAAUAAAAUAAGAAGAAAAAACAAAAAAUGGCACAGGCACAUGCUGAUACCGAAAAUAGAACUGAAGCACACAACAGUCAGCACUCAGCAGGCAUGUCGACCACCAACCAAACACACCCGAGAAUGAUCGAUGGCAUUCGACAGGCCACACAAUAAUUCACAACAAGGACUGUGAGUGACACCUGAGGAGGUCGAUUUCAUGCUCGCUCAUAUCG